AGAUUGAACGCUGGCGGCAGGCCUAACACAUGCAAGUCGAGCGGUAGAGAGGUGCUUGCACCUCUUGAGAGCGGCGGACGGGUGAGUAAUGCCUAGGAAUCUGCCUAGUGGUGGGGGAUAACGUUCGGAAACGGACGCUAAUACCGCAUACGUCCUACGGGAGAAAGCGGGGGACCUUCGGGCCUCGCGCCAUUAGAUGAGCCUAGGUCGGAUUAGCUAGUUGGUGAGGUAAUGGCUCACCAAGGCGACGAUCCGUAACUGGUCUGAGAGGAUGAUCAGUCACACUGGAACUGAGACACGGUCCAGACUCCUACGGGAGGCAGCAGUGGGAAUAUUGGACAAUGGGCGAAAGCCUGAUCCAGCCAUGCCGCGUGUGUGAAGAAGGUCUUCGGAUUGUAAAGCACUUUAAGUUGGAGGAAGGCAGUUACUAAUACGUAUCUGUUUUGACGUUACCGACAGAAUAAGCACCGGACUAACUCUAAUGCCAGCAGUA
rnacentral:rRNA from 1 species